UACGGGGGGGGCAAGCGUUGUUCGGAAUUACUGGGCGUAAAGGGCUCGUAGGCGGCCAACUAAGUCAGACGUGAAAUCCCUCGGCUUAACCGGGGAACUGCGUCUGAUACUGGAUGGCUUGAGUUUGGGAGAGGGAUGCGGAAUUCCAGGUGUAGCGGUGAAAUGCGUAGAUAUCUGGAGGAAUACCGGUGGCGAAGGCGGCAUCCUGGACCGAGAUUGACACUGAGGAGCGAAAGCUAGGGGAGCAAACGGG
rnacentral:rRNA from 1 species